CACACUGUAGCUCGGUUGGUAGAGCAUGGUGCUUGCAAUGCCAGGGUUGUGGGUUCGAUUCCCAUGGGUGGGC
rnacentral:tRNA from 1 species